UACGAAGGGGGCGAGCGUUGUUCGGAUUUACUGGGCGUAAAGGGCGCGCAGGCGGCUAUUUUUGUCAGGCGUGAAAGCCCCGGGCUUAACCUGGGAACUGCGCUUGAUACGGGAUGGCUAGAGAUCGGGAGAGGAGAGUGGAAUUCCCAGUGUAGAGGUGAAAUGCGUAGAUAUCGGGAGGAACACCUGUGGCGAAAGCGGCGCACUGGACCACUUCUGACGCUGAGGCGCGAAAGCUAGGGGAGCAAACAGG
rnacentral:rRNA from 1 species